rnacentral:rRNA from 1 species
UACGUAGGCGGUUUAUUAAGUCAGAUGUGGAAGCCCCGGGCUUAACCUGGGAACUGCAUUUGAUACUGGUAAACUAGAGUAUGGUAGAGGGGGGUAGAAUUCCUAGUGUAGCGGUGAAAUGCGUAGAUAUUAGGAGGAAUACCAGUGGCGAAGGCGGCCCCCUGGACCAAUACUGACGCUGAGGUACGAAAGCGUGGGUAGCGAACA